AUUUGAGAACUUUGAGAACCUGGAUUAACAUCAAAGAAGUUGAAGAAGAGUUAGUUGGACUGAGAGUUUUUCUCCAAAAAAAGAGAAACACAUACCUGAGGGGGUCCUUUCACUGGGAACAGGCCUAUAUGAGACUCUAUAAAACCUUCACAUGAAUUCAUCAUAUCCUAUUAUCCCCAUUUUGUUGGUGAAGAAAGUGAUGCUCAGAGGUUGUUGCUUGCUUUGAAUCAUAGUAGCAAAUGACAGAGGUAAAAAUAUUCCCAAGUCCCUUCAACUGUUUCUUGUCAGAUUCUGGGUGAGUAUAGGGGAAAAUCAUACCCUUGAGAAGCUUUUUCUUGAUAUGUUGAAGAGGAAAAGAUAUAAAUUGAGCCACUGGGGAAGAAAUGAAACAAUCAGGAACAGCAAUGACUACUUUUAAUGAGACUAUUUGUACUAGCCAGCGGGUAACCUUGGUGGUGAGUUAAACCUGAGAAAGACAGGAAGGAAUCAAGAAAUAGAGAGAAG
rnacentral:lncRNA from 1 species